rnacentral:rRNA from 1 species
UACGUAGGGUGCAAGCGUUGUCCGGAAUUAUUGGGCGUAAAGAGCUCGUAGGCGGUCUGUUGCGUCGGCUGUGAAAACCCGGGGCUCAACUCCGGGCCUGCAGCCGAUACGGGCAGACUAGAGUUCGGCAGAGGAGACUGGAAUUCCUGGUGUAGCGGUGAAAUGCGCAGAUAUCAGGAGGAACACCGGUGGCGAAGGCGGGUCUCUGGGCCGAUACUGACGCUGAGGAGCGAAAGCGUGGGGAGCGAACAGG